GAUUAAAAUUAUUUUGUACACAGCGCUAGUGUGAAGCGAGUAGAUGUGUUCUUCACAAUGGUUUAUAUGUAAUACAUCUUCCAAAUAUCUGUAAAUCUGUCUUUAAGUUAAAAAGUUUUUCAAAAGCAGAGGUGGGGGAGGGGGGAUUGCCUUUCCUCCCCUUAUGAUGCUACAUUUGUGUUUAAUGUUAACUUUUUAACAGUUCCAC
rnacentral:lncRNA from 1 species